AAAUUGAAGAGUUUGAUCAUGGCUCAGAUUGAACGCUGGCGGCAGGCCUAACACAUGCAAGUCGAGCGGUAGCACAGAGAGCUUGCUCUCGGGUGACGAGCGGCGGACGGGUGAGUAAUGUCUGGGAAACUGCCUGAUGGAGGGGGAUAACUACUGGAAACGGUAGCUAAUACCGCAUAACGUCGCAAGACCAAAGUGGGGGACCUUCGGGCCUCAUGCCAUCAGAUGUGCCCAGAUGGGAUUAGCUAGUAGGUGGGGUAACGGCUCACCUAGGCGACGAUCCCUAGCUGGUCUGAGAGGAUGACCAGCCACACUGGAACUGAGACACGGUCCAGACUCCUACGGGAGGCAGCAGUGGGGAAUAUUGCACAAUGGGCGCAAGCCUGAUGCAGCCAUGCCGCGUGUGUGAAGAAGGCCUUCGGGUUGUAAAGCACUUUCAGCGGGGAGGAAGGCGGUGAGGUUAAUAACCUCACCGAUUGACGUUACCCGCAGAAGAAGCACCGGCUAACUCCGUGCCAGCAGCCGCGGUAAUACGGAGGGUGCAAGCGUUAAUCGGAAUUACUGGGCGUAAAGCGCACGCAGGCGGUCUGUCAAGUCGGAUGUGAAAUCCCCGGGCUCAACCUGGGAACUGCAUUCGAAACUGGCAGGCUAGAGUCUUGUAGAGGGGGGUAGAAUUCCAGGUGUAGCGGUGAAAUGCGUAGAGAUCUGGAGGAAUACCGGUGGCGAAGGCGGCCCCCUGGACAAAGACUGACGCUCAGGUGCGAAAGCGUGGGGAGCAAACAGGAUUAGAUACCCUGGUAGUCCACGCUGUAAACGAUGUCGAUUUGGAGGUUGUGCCCUUGAGGCGUGGCUUCCGGAGCUAACGCGUUAAAUCGACCGCCUGGGGAGUACGGCCGCAAGGUUAAAACUCAAAUGAAUUGACGGGGGCCCGCACAAGCGGUGGAGCAUGUGGUUUAAUUCGAUGCAACGCGAAGAACCUUACCUGGUCUUGACAUCCACAGAACUUUCCAGAGAUGGAUUGGUGCCUUCGGGAACUGUGAGACAGGUGCUGCAUGGCUGUCGUCAGCUCGUGUUGUGAAAUGUUGGGUUAAGUCCCGCAACGAGCGCAACCCUUAUCCUUUGUUGCCAGCGGUCCGGCCGGGAACUCAAAGGAGACUGCCAGUGAUAAACUGGAGGAAGGUGGGGAUGACGUCAAGUCAUCAUGGCCCUUACGACCAGGGCUACACACGUGCUACAAUGGCAUAUACAAAGAGAAGCGACCUCGCGAGAGCAAGCGGACCUCAUAAAGUAUGUCGUAGUCCGGAUUGGAGUCUGCAACUCGACUCCAUGAAGUCGGAAUCGCUAGUAAUCGUGGAUCAGAAUGCCACGGUGAAUACGUUCCCGGGCCUUGUACACACCGCCCGUCACACCAUGGGAGUGGGUUGCAAAAGAAGUAGGUAGCUUAACCUUCGGGAGGGCGCUUACCACUUUGUGAUUCAUGACUGGGGUGAAGUCGUAACAAGGUAACCGUAGGGGAACCUGCGGUUGGAACACCUCCUUA
rnacentral:rRNA from 1 species